CUCGGCAACUGUCACAUGGUCGCCCACUGUGCCCGGUCAGUACCUGGAUGGGAGACCACAUGGGAAAGCUAGGUUGCUGCCGGAA
rnacentral:rRNA from 1 species